CCUACGGGAGGCAGCAGUGGGGAAUAUUGGACAAUAGGCGCAAGCCUGAUCCAGCCAUGCCGCGUGAGUGAUGAAGGCCCUAGGGUUGUAAAGCUCUUUCACCGGUGAAGAUAAUGACGGUAACCGGAGAAGAAGCCCCGGCUAACUUCGUGCCAGCAGCCGCGGUAAUACGAAGGGGGCUAGCGUUGUUCGGAUUUACUGGGCGUAAAGCGCACGUAGGCGGACUAUUAAGUCAGGGGUGAAAUCCCGGGGCUCAACCCCGGAACUGCCUUUGAUACUGGUAGUCUUGAGUUCGAGAGAGGUGAGUGGAAUUCCGAGUGUAGAGGUGAAAUUCGUAGAUAUUCGGAGGAACACCAGUGGCGAAGGCGGCUCACUGGCUCGAUACUGACGCUGAGGUGCGAAAGCGUGGGGAGCAAACAGGAUUAGAUACCCCAGUAGUCCAGUCCC
rnacentral:rRNA from 1 species